UACGUAGGGUGCAAGCGUUGUCCGGAAUUAUUGGGCGUAAAGAGCUCGUAGGCGGCUUGUCGCGUCGGCUGUGAAAACCUGGGGCUCAACCCCGGGCCUGCAGCCGAUACGGGCAAGCUAGAAUUCGGUAGGGGAGACUGGAAUUCCUGGUGUAGCGGUGAAAUGCGCAGAUAUCAGGAGGAACUCCGGUGGCGAAGGCGGGUCUCUGGGCCGAAAUUGACGCUGAGGAGCGAAAGCGUGGGAGCAAACAGG
rnacentral:rRNA from 1 species